ensembl:lncRNA
CUUUUAUUCAUCUGUAAAAAUGGUUAUUACAGAUACUCCUGUAAUUAAUACAACUACAAGAUAACAACCAAGUAAAAGUUUUUGUUGCUUUUGUUUUAAAUCAACCAUGAUUUUUAACUGUGUUAGAAUGGACUACAAUUACAGCCAUGACAGGCUGAAUGUUUGUGGAAUGCCGCUGUAGAAGGUAGGCACCGUUAGGUUGGUUCUUGGUUGCUCCAUCCUUACAGCUGACUAAUACAGUCCUCUACAGGUUUUGUCAAAUAAAGCAGCCUGAAAAUAUGAAUAUAUAUAUAGUAACAUAUAAGACUAAGAAUGAACAUAAAAAUAAGAAGGAAAUAUGCAAUGGGGCAAGAGGGAGAGAUGAAAGAGAAAACUGGAAAGAAAACAAGAACAUUGUAACUAAUACUUUAACGCUGUGGAGACUGAUGGUAAUUUAUCUGUCAUGACGUCACGUUGCAUUAGUGAAUUAACAUCAAUAAGUUAGAUAACAGGGGAAGCGGAGGAGAAGAAAAACAAUGUAGUGGAUUCUUAUAUGGAGUGGCGUCAAUCAACCAGGGAGUGGUGCUGAGGCUGAUCUGUUCAUCCACAGCGACCACAGCACGGGAGCCCUUCUGAAUGAAGAUCCACUGAAUGAGGAUCAGGACCUCAUGUCGCUCCGGAAUCUCUUUGGGGAACUGGUUGUUUACACUAAAGUCCGUUCCUUUCAGCUGCCUGUUCCUUCUGCUUGAAAUGUUGGAAUUUGGUCACAAUAGGACGCGGUCUUCAGGCAUCAUUCUUGCUGCCAGGCCAUGGACACAGUGGAAGGUGAUGUUCUUCAGCAUGUCCUGUGGAAGCUUCAGGUGGGUCCUGAUGAAGGUUUUAAUGGUAACUUCUGCGUCCUCUUCCGCAGAUUCCAGGAUGCCUGAAAACACCAGGGGAUAGUGUGGAAAUCGACCAUAGUGUCUUUUAUUAUUUUAAAAUCAUUAUUAUUUUACUUUCUUCACUGAGCUGGGUCACAUGACCAAGUCUCGUAGCGAGGCGUUUUCAGCAGUGAGUGUUUCCACCUGCUGCUGGCUGAACACCAAACAUUCCCUUACUGCUUUGGUGCGGUGCUCUUUGUCUGUUUGGCAUGCUGAAUAGAGGAGGAAACACGGUGCCGUUAUUAAUGUCACAGCCAAGGCCGACCUGGGAAAAAGACUCGAUAUGGAGAACACUCACGGAGGCACUGCAUGUCUUUAUCCUGUUUUCCUUCUCUCACCCCAACCGGUCGCAGCAGAUGGCCCCGCCCCUCCCUGAGCCUGGUUCUGCCGGAGGUUUCUUCCUGUUAAAAGGGAGUUUUUCCUUCCCACUGUCGCCAAAGUGCUUGCUCAUAGGGGGUCAUAUGAUUGUUGGGUUUUUCUCUGUAUGGAUUAUUGUAGGGUCUACCUUAUGAUAUAAAGCACCUUGAGGCGAA